CGCAAAAGACGAAAUCACACCUGUAGGGGACGAUAGGUUCGCUUGGGGUAUAGUCCUUGGACUCAUUUGCUUCCUCACUCUAUUUCCUAACAGUGGAGGUACUUUCUCCACUUCAUUCUUCAAUGGACCUUUCUUCCGUGGUGAUGAUUUCUAAAGAAUGUAUAGAUUAAGAUGCAGAAACAAGCAUUGUUCUUAUUUAUUAUUAAUGGUGUUACAAAAGCAUUGUAAAUUCUUGUGGAAUUUGUUUUAUCAUCUUCUAGUAUGCUCUUUUGAACAUAACCUUUAGUGGAACAUCACUUAAAGCAAGUCUUCUCUUUCCAUCUUGCACAAACACUCCAACGUCUCUACAGAUGACUUUGCAGAAAUUGCAGACAGUAGGACAAAACCUGAUCUUGUAAUCUUUUUCAAAUUUGUCGAUCUUGAACCAGUUAUCAACCGUUUUCUGACCGGGAUUCCCUUCAACGCCACAAGUUGAAAUGAACCAUUGUUUCGUCGUCUCGUCGAAAUUGGCUAAUUCCCAGAUCGAAGUUGGAGAGAAUUUGAUGUUUACAUCAGUUGAGACAGGGAUGGUUCUUGAUUUGUCAUAUGGUGAGAAUUUAACCGGUAGGCCUUGAGAGACUUCAAAUUGGUCUUGGAUCACACUUGUGGGACAGGUUUCGGUCUUUAAGUUUGACAUGGUUAGUCCGCCUCCACGGCCGCGAAUUACAGGCAAGAUGUAGUAGUUGACGCCUGUGAGGAGAGAUUUUCCAUUGAUGUCCUUAACUGGUUCGACGGCUGCUUCGGUGGUGACUCCACGGUGGCUGAUGAAGACGGCCAAGAGGAGGAAGAUAUAGAGAAGUGAUGACAUUGUAGGAAGUUUUCUUUUAAUGGAAACUUUUUAGUAUG